rnacentral:lncRNA from 1 species
UUUUUUUUUUUUUUUUUUUUUGGAGGAUUUGUGAAGGACUUGCAUUCAUCCCUACGCUAUAAUUACACUUUUCAAGAUCUACUUUCUUAAGACUUGCUGAAAGUUUUUUGAGCACGCACAUCUUUAUUUAAUUAAGGAAACAAGGUAUUGGCUUCCACAAUUUAAGUGACCACUUAUUUGCGAUUCUCAGAGGGUUCAAUUUGGUAGAAAAGGAAAGAGGAACGGUUCCUUGCCUGCCUUUGUACCAGGGUAUCUCCCAUGUUUAUGAUUGGUGAAAAUGUCGACCCGCGCCGAGAGAAACACGGAGACAGAGUUUUGAGUGAAGGGGAAAAAAUAGCUUUUAUUGCUUUACCAGUCCAAUGGCAAGAUUUUCAGUCUACUACCCCCCAAAUCCCAGUCCUUCCCACACCCCAAACUCCAGUCUGUCAAGCACAAAUCAGUUUUCCAGUCCACAAGUUUCUUUUCUGUAGAAAAUUUCAUGGGUGUCAUUUGUCAGAUUCCAGAUAGACUCGGUGUCCCAUGGUAUAUGCCUUUCACUUUCAGACAUAUUUCACUUACUAUGAGAGUUCCUCUUUCAAUCUAUGUGGCUGUGAAUGGCAUUUUUUUGCUCCAUUUUAUGGCCAAGUAGAUUUCCAUUGUGUGUAUGUAAAUCCUCUUCCUAAUCGAAUAUCCUGUCCAUGGACAUAGAGUUGUUUCAGUCUUGCUAUGGUGAAUAGUGCUGCAUGAACAAAGCGGGGCAUUUAAAAAUUUUUAAAGAGUGUAUAAAUCCUCUUCCUAAUCGAAUAUUCUGUCCAUGGACAUAGAGUUGUUUCAGUCUUGCUCUUGUGAAUAGUGCUGCAUGAACAAAGCGGGGCAUUUAAACAUUUUUAAAAAGUGUUUGCCGGGUAUAUGCUCAAGAGUCCGAUUUCCGAGUCAUAUGGUCCUCUCACAUUGGUUUUUCAGACUGCCUCGAUCCUGCGUCCGUAGUGGUUGUAGCAGUUUACGUAACCACCCAACUGUAAGAAGGUGCCUUCAGCUCCACAUCCUCUCCGGGGUUUUUAUUUGUAGACUUCCUAAUGAAGGUCAUUCAAGAGGGGUGCCUUUUGAAUGUCAUUUUGUUUGCAUUUCUCUCCUAAUAAAUGAUCUUUUUUUUUUUUUUUCUGGUGCUUGCUGCCCUCUGUUUAACUGGCUUAGGGAAAUAGCUAUUCAGGUCUUUUGCCCAUUUUUCAAUUGGGAUCUUGGUGGUGUUUUUCUGUUGGGUGGUGUUUUGGCUGUUGUUGAGCUGGUAAUUUUGAUACCCCGGCCUGACCUGGGCUUUGGUAUUCAGAUAAAGUGCCUGCGGGUUGUGCAUGAAAGGGGAUAAUAUGGUGAUAUUUUGCUCAGUCACUGUGCUAAUUCCUGUGCUUUUUGUCUCAAGCGGUCUCCUGAAAAUCCAUCCUUUUCUUUAUAUUGUGAGGCUCUUCUCUUCUCUCCAUUCACUUGGUUUAAAUACCUGACCUAGAGCAAGGUCAGGUUAAUUAAGGCUGGUAGAUUCAAUUAUAUAAAUAAAUCUCUCACCAAGAUCCCUCGAGGAUCCCUUGGUAAAAGAUCAAUCUUUCUCUCUGUAGUGGUUUGAUAACCUCUAUGUCUUGAAAAAUAUCGACUGGCCGAAAACGCACACAUGCUUAAGGUGGAGUCAAUAAAGUUAGAAAUAUGUCAAGAGAGAAAGAGAAAAAUGAAAGAAAAAAGCAAGACUUUAUGAAUGAAGGAUUCACAGUUGGAAAAUAAAGAACAAAAUCAGUUGUUACAUACCUACAACCUAUCUUCAUAAAUACAUAAUUGCAGGGAUAUAUAACAAUGGAAGUAGGAUAUCAUGAAAUGAUGGGUCUGGAGCUGGGUGUUUGAAGUGAGUAGCAUCUGUAAUAUGUUUGCUACAGGGCUCUGAAUGCUUUGAGAGAGAAGUAGCCCAGCUGGGAGGUCACUUCUUGAUAUUUCAUAAACCAGAGGAAGGAAACCCAAGGAGCAUAUUGCCCAUGAAUAAUGCAGCUCCUUGGGCUGUUGAGCCUGUUAGGGGAAGAAGACCUGACAGUGGCUGUUAGAGCAGAUGUCCACCAGAUGGCCCCAGAGUAAGUUCUGGACCCGAUGCAGCUCCAGGCCUGCAGGUGCAGCUCAGGCCACAUCCAGCACCUUGAUUUUGGUUUUGUUUUCUGAACACCUGUGACUCUCUGCUCUGAUAUGUCUCAUGUCAGGCGAAGGACACAGGUGUCCCUUCAGCAUUUUUAGGUGGAUUGGGGCCUGGUGGGGUGCCAGGGGUUUUAGAAUAUUUGAAGAAUUCACUGGGUUUUGAAGUGUUUUGUGUUCCUCCCGAUGUAGGUGCCAAGACCCAUACAUCAUUUGUGUUGAAUCGUGGCCUGGCCAUUUUAAAGCCCCUGCGGGUUGGAGGUUCAAGUAUGUUGAAGAUAGAGGCUGGUGCUGAUGAAGGAAUGAUGGCUUCUGGGGCAUCAUGGGGGCAGCUGUGCUAAUCCCUGUGCUUGUUUCUUUCAAGAGGCCUGGGGCAUGUUCUUCUUGCCUUUGGAGAUGAGCAUCUCUUUUCAGUACAGUGCCAGGUUAAGGAGGCCUGACUGAAACCAUGUCUGGUUAAGUAAGCAGGGCUGAUUGGUAUCAUCAAGAAUGCUCUCAGCGUGUUCCCUCGUGGCUGCCUGGCUUAAUAGUCUCUCUCUGUCACUGCUGUGGCUGUGCUCAAACCUUUGAUGUGUGAUCAGACUCUGGCCAGACAACAUUCCAGUAUCACAUGUGGCACCCAAAUAUAUUUAUAAGUGCAUACAUAUACUGAAAGGAAUGUGCUCAAUUUAUAAAGAAGUCAAAGAAAGCAUAUACACAUUCCUACAGUGUAGCUAAGGACAUUGGUAGCUAAGGCAAUCCUAACGGCUCUCCUGACCCUAUAACUUGGGUGGCAGAUUUUUUUAAAGUACGAGCCCAGGUUUGUACUACAGUGGUGUGGUUUCAGUUCCUGGGCAGACAGUAUCUGCAUCCAACAAAAGGGUGCAGAGCCAUAAAUAGGUAAAUAAAAAGAAAAAUGUUAAUGUAGAAAUUAAUCAUAAACCUAUGAAAUUCUCUGUUUUUGGAUGUCACAUUGCUAAGAAAUCUUGGCAGGUUCAACGGAGACGGUUUGCCUGUUGUUGUUUUGAUUGUUUUGUUUUUUUGUUUUUUGUUUUUUUCUGAGAGAGGCGUGAUUCUGGACCCAGACGUCUUCUCUGGUGAAUGCUGAGCCAGUCAUUUUUGUGGGCUUUAUAAAACCAUCUUUAAAGUUUCCAUUGGAGCUGAUUUAUUCUCAAUUUCUCUUUAAGAGCAACGUGAUACAUUUGUACCUGUAUAUACACAUUCUAUUUUAAAGUUGUAGUAGUUUUAUUUUUUCCGUUAUAGCUGGUUUAGAAUGUUGUGUCAAUUUUCUGCUGUACGCAGAUGACCCAUUAUCACGCUCCAUUAUAAGUGACCAUAUAUAAUUCCCAGUGCUAUGCAGCAGGUUCUCAUUGACGCUCCAUUCCAGAGGCAAUAGUUUGCAUCUAUUAACCCAAAGUCCCCCUCCGUCCCCCUCCCUCCCCCUUGCCAGCGGCACAGGUGUCCCUCAGGAUAUGGAGGUGGACUGGCAGUCUGGUUGGGUGGCAGUGCUUUUAGAAUGCUUGUAGCAUUCACUGGGUUUCAGAAUGACUUGUGUUCCUGCAGAGGCGGGGACUGAGACACACACAGCAUCUGUGUUGUAUCAUCACUGGGCCAUUUUCCAGCCCCUGACCAUUGGGGGUUUAUGUAGUUUGAGGAAGAGGCUGGUGCCCACAAAUGAAUGAGGGGCUUUGGUGUCAUUAAGGUGGGCAGCUGGGCUAAUCCUUGUGCUUUUUUCACUCAAGAGGCUUAGGGAAAUUUCAUUUUUGCCUUUUGAGAUGAGCCUCACCUUUCACUACAGCGCCAGGGUGUGGAGGCAUGACUGAAACCAGGCCUGAUGAAUUGAGAAGAGUUGAUUGGUAUCAUCAAGGACGCGCUCAGGAAGUUCCCUUCUGGCUGCCUGGCUCAAGAUUCCCUCUCUGUUGGUGCUGUGGUUGUGUUAAGAGCUGCAUCGGGAGAUUGAACCCUGGCCAGACAACAUCCCCAUAUCGCAGGUGGCACACAAAUAAAUUUAUAAAUUAAAAGAGAUAUAGAAAUGAAUGAGCUCAGUUGAUAAAGUCCUUAAUCAAUACAUAUCUGCAUUCCUAAAGAGCAGACCAGUGAAUUGAUAGAUGAGGCAAUCCUAAAGGCAUUGCUGACACUCUAACUCAGGGGACAGAGCCCGAUCCUGCUGUUGUGCAGAAGUGCGGUGGACUAAGUACCUAGGCAGACAGUAUCUGCAUGCCAAACAUUGCCCCAGGACAUAACUAGAUAAGUGAAACUAGUAAAUAAAAUGCUAAUACAGGAUUAUAUUCCUACACACUAAGUAAUUAUAGCUGGUCUUUUUCACAUUGCUAGGAGAUCUUGACAGGUUCAAUGAAUUCUCUCUGCCAGGUUUUUUGUUUUUUCCUUAAGAGGCAGGAGUGUGGACAUAGACAUCUUCUCUGGUGAUGCUGAGCCGGUCAUUUUAGAAUGAUUUUAUCAUUUUUUUCCUUUACAGCUGGUUUAUUGUGCUCAGUUUUUCUUUAACAGCAAACUGAUCCCUACGUACUUGUAUAUACAUACUCUUUUGCUCACAUAUCCUCCACCUUGCUCUGAAAAAGGGGACUAGAUAUAGUUCCCUGGGCUAAGUAUCAGGGUGUCAUUGCUUACCACACCAAGUGCAAGGUUUUGGAUCUAUCAACCCCCAAACCCCAGUCCUUCACACACCCUCCCCCUCCAAUCCGAUAACCGCAAAUCUGUUUUCCUGUUCAGAGUUUCUUUUCUGAUGAAAGGUUCCUUACUGCCAUUUGUUAGACUCCAGAUAGAAGGGGUAUUCUUUGGUAUUUUUCUUUUUUCUUUUUGUCUUUUCUAGGGCCACACUCGUGGUGUACGGAGAGUCCCAGGCUAGGGGUCUAAUCAGAGCUGUAGCCGCCGGCCUACGCCAGAGCCACAGCAACACAGGAUCCGAGCCGCGUCUGCGACCUACACCACAGCUCACAGCAAUGCCGGACCCUUAACCCACUGAGCAAGGCCAGGGAUCGAACCCGCAACCUCAUGGUUCCUAGUUGGAUUUGUUAACCACUGAACCACGACGGGAACUCCCUUUGGUAUUUUUCUAUCUCUUUCGGACUUCUUUCACCUAGUGUGAGGGUUUCUAGUUCCAUCUAUGAGGCUGUGGAAGGCAUUUUUUCUUCUUUUAUGUCUGAGUAGUAUUCCAUUGUGUACAUGUACAUCCUGCUCCUAAUCCCGUCAUCUGUCGAUGGACACUGGGUUUGUUCCCUUAUUUUGCUAUUGUGAAUAGUGCUGCAUGUGCCUAGCUCUGCCUUUAACUUUUUAAAAGAACACUUUCCAGGAGUAUGCCCGAGACUGGGAUUGCUGUGUCAUGGGUUGUUCUAUAUUUAUUUCUUGUAUUUAACUCAAUUCAGUGGACCGCAGUGGUUGUACCAAUUUAGAUACUCACCUACACUGUGGGAGGGCAUGCUCUACAGCACACCCAGCUCACCAUUCCUUAACUGUAGCCUUUCCAAUGAUGCCCAUUCUCACGGAUGUGCGGUGGCAUCUCAGCACCCAUUUUAUUUGCUUCUUUCUACUGCUGAGUGAUGGUGAUCAUUUUUACAGCGCUUGUUGCCCUCUGAGUAUCUGGACUAGGGAAAUGCGUACUUAGGUUUUUACCCAUUUUUCCAUGGGGUUGUUGGCUUUAUUUUGCUGUUGUGCAGAAUCUGUUGUUGGGGUGGUAUUUUGGAAACCCCAGCCUGACCUGGGAUUUGGGAUCCAGAAAACGUGCCUGUGGGUUGUAUGGAAGGUUGUAGAUGGUGAUGGUUUGGUGAGCAGCUGUGCCUCCCUGUGCUUUUCCCCACGUGGUCCCUGAAACCGGGUCCUUUUCUCUCCACGUGAUCCUCUUUUGCUCUCCCUAUACACUUGCUGUGAGGACCUCAUCUAAAUCCAGGUCCGGGGAUUAAGGCAGGCAUAUUGAUGGAUGUAAAGGAAGCUCUCACCAAGAUGCCUCCCUGCUCCCUUGGUAAAAGGUACGUCUUUGUCACUGUGGUGGGUUUGGUAACUUCUUUUGCUGAAACAACUUUAGUGGACCAACAACUCAUGCACGCCUCAGGUGGGGUCAAUAAAUUUAGAAAGAAAGAG